UACGUAGGGGGCUAGCGUUAUCCGGAAUUACUGGGCGUAAAGGGUGCGUAGGUGGUUUCUUAAGUCAGAGGUGAAAGGCUACGGCUCAACCGUAGUAAGCCUUUGAAACUGGGAAACUUGAGUGCAGGAGAGGAGAGUGGAAUUCCUAGUGUAGCGGUGAAAUGUGUAGAUAUUAGGAGGAACACCAGUUGCGAAGGCGGCUCUCUGGACUGUAACUGACACUGAGGCACGAAAGCGUGGGGAGCAAACAGG
rnacentral:rRNA from 1 species